ACGGGGUGCAGCAGGCGCGAAACCUCCGCAAUGCACGCCAAGUGUGACGGGGGGACUCUGAGUGUUUUCAUUUUUUUGAAAACUUUUCUGGAGCGUAAAUAACUCCAGGAAUAAGAGCUGGGUAAGACGGGUGCCAGCCAUUAGUGGAGUGAAACAAGAUUCCAACAAAUCCUAUUUGCUCGCUAACUGGAAGCCGCGGUAAUACCCGCAGCUCAAGUUGUUUGGACUUUUAUUGGGUCUAAAGCGUUCGUAGCCGGAGAGACAAGUUCUUUGUGAAAUCUAACAACUUAAUUGUUAGGCGUGCAGGGAAUACUAUCUUUCUUGGGACCGGGAUGGGCCAAGGGUACUUUCGGGGUAGGGGUGAAAUCCAAUAAUCCUGAAGGGACCACCUGUGGCGAAGGCGCUUGGCUAAAACGGGUCCGACGGUGAGGGACGAAAGCUAGGGGAGCGAACGGGAUUAGAUACCCCGGUAGUCCUAGCUGUAAAUGAUGCAGAUUAGGUGUUGCGCGCCCUUCGUGGGCAUGCAGUGCCGAAGGGAAGCCGUUAAAUCUGCCACCUGGAAGUACGUCGCAAGGC
rnacentral:rRNA from 1 species